GACGAACGCUGGCGGCGUGCCUCAUACAUGCAAGUCGAGCGGAUGCAGGAAUGCAUUAGCGGCGGACGGGUGAGUAACACGUGGGCAACCUGGCCUUAAGAGGGGGAUAACGUUCCGAAAGGGACGCUAAUACCGCGUAAAUCAGCGAAAUCGCAUGAUUUUGUUGGAAAAGGAGAAAUCCGCUUAAGGAUGGGCCCGCGGCCUAUUAGCUAGUUGGUAGGGUAACGGCCUACCAAGGCGACGAUAGGUAGCCGACCUGAGAGGGUGAACGGCCACACUGGAACUGAGAAACGGUCCAGACUCCUACGGGAGGCAGCAGUAGGGAAUAUUCCGCAAUGGGCGAAAGCCUGACGGAGCAACGCCGCGUGAGUGAAGAAGGUCUUCGGAUCGUAAAGCUCUGUCAACAGGGACGAAACAAGACGGUACCUGAGAAGGAAGCCACGGCAAACUACGUGCCAGCCGCCGCCGUAA
rnacentral:rRNA from 1 species